GAGUUUGAUCCUGGCUCAGAUUGAACGCUGGCGGCAUGCCUUACACAUGCAAGUCGAACGGCAGCACGGAGCUUGCUCUGGUGGCGAGUGGCGAACGGGUGAGUAAUAUAUCGGAACGUACCCUAGAGUGGGGGAUAACGUAGCGAAAGUUACGCUAACACCGCAUACGAUCUAAGGAUGAAAGUGGGGGAUCGCAAGACCUCAUGCUCGUGGAGCGGCCGAUAUCUGAUUAGCUAGUUGGUAGGGUAAAAGCCUACCAAGGCAUCGAUCAGUAGCUGGUCUGAGAGGACGACCAGCCACACUGGAACUGAGACACGGUCCAGACUCCUACGGGAGGCAGCAGUGGGGAAUUUUGGACAAUGGGCGAAAGCCUGAUCCAGCAAUGCCGCGUGAGUGAAGAAGGCCUUCGGGUUGUAAGGCUCUUUUGUCAGGGAAGAAACGGUGAGGGCUAAUAUCUCUUGCUAAUGACGGUACCUGAAGAAUAAGCACCGGCUAACUACGUGCCAGCAACCGCGGUAAUACGUAGGGUGCAAGCGUUAAUCGGAAUUACUGGGCGUAAAGCGUGCGCAGGCGGUUUUGUAAGUCUGAUGUGAAAUCCCCGGGCUCAACCUGGGAAUUGCAUUGGAGACUGCAAGGCUAGAAUCUGGCAGAGGGGGGUAGAAUUCCACGUGUAGCAGUGAAAUGCGUAGAUAUGUGGAGGAACACCGAUGGCGAAGGCAGCCCCCUGGGUCAAGAUUGACGCUCAUGCACGAAAGCGUGGGGAGCAAACAGGAUUAGAUACCCUGGUAGUCCACGCCCUAAACGAUGUCUACUAGUUGUCGGGUCUUAAUUGACUUG
rnacentral:rRNA from 1 species